rnacentral:rRNA from 1 species
GUCUAGUGGCGAACGGGUGAGUAACACGUGAGCAACCUGCCCAGAAGCAGGGGAUAAGCCACCGAAAGGUGGUGUAAUACCGUAUGUGAUACCAAGAGGCAUCUCUUGGCUAUUAAAGGGGGGGACCUUCGGGCCUCUCACUUCUGGAUGGGCUCGCGGCCUAUCAGCUUGUUGGUGAGGUAACGGCUCACCAAGGCAACGACGGGUAGCUGGUCUGAGAGGACGACCAGUCACACUGGAACUGAGACACGGUCCAGACACCUACGGGUGGCAGCAGUCGAGAAUCAUUCACAAUGGGCGAAAGCCUGAUGGUGCGACGCCGCGUGGAGGAUGACAGCCCUAGGGUUGUAAACUCCUGUCAUGAGAGAGUAAAGACUUAACGUUA